CCCUAAGUAAAUGUUCGUUUGAUACAAAGUCAUUCCAAUGACAUCCAGUCAUUGGUUUAGGUCACUGGUUAGCAUCCAAGUCUCACAACAUUCCAGUAAGGCAGGAAGGACCAUGUCCCUAAAGACUUGGACUUUUGUUCUCUUGCAAAGAUUGGCAAACAUCUCAGUCCACCAAUCUUAUGACUCCCGAAGCUCUUUCCACAAGACCCUAGGCCAAAGACCCCGAGACAUGAAUAUCACUGCUGAGAUAAAGGACUGUUUCUCCAAGCUCAACAAUUUCACUGUGCACACAUACUGUACACUUCUGAUGACUGAGCCCAGGAAGUCACUGAACGCUUUGGACGUUAGUUUUUGUCAGUAACCACAAACCAACUUUAAUAUAUAUAUAUAUAACUUUAAUAUAUUUCAAGUUACUGCGAAAUAAUUCUGCUCAGAAGCCGUUGCACCUUCGCAUCAGUAUCGUUCAGAGCUGAGAUUGGCUGUGCUCGCUUUUCACACAUGGCAUACACAUGCAUGUGUAUCUCAGACUGAAAGCCCAUAUUUCAGCCUUCAGUAAUUGUACUCAGCCUGCACUCAGUUAUGUCUUCAAGCAUGAGAAAAGCAAUCACUAGUUGAGGCUAUGUCCUGAUGAAAGCAAGAGAGCAAAACUCAAACAUCCUGUAUCAAAUACUUUUCGUAUCAAAUGCACAUCUCUUCGCUUGGGAGCUGAAUGGGGUGGAAAAA